rnacentral:lncRNA from 1 species
AUGAAAGUAAUAUUUACUAAAUAAUAUAUUUUUAACAUGUUAUAUUAUAUUAAAAAGAAUUAUGAACACUAAAAAUUUAAUUAAUAGCCUUAUGUGAAAAAUAAAAUGUUAGUUACAAAUAGUAGAAUUAUAUUAAAAUAAUGAAAAAGUGAAAUAGUAGUUUUGUAUAUUUAGAGAACUAUUAUCCACCUCUAUAUAAAUAGAGGAUAAAGAGCCUUUUAGAGAGUGGUUGGAGAUCCAAUUCUCUAUUUUAUUAUCCAAAUAUAGAGAAUGGAGAGUAAAAUAGAAGAAUUGAAAAUGGUCGUACGAAUAAAUGGUUGAUACUAGCUUAUCCUUAAAAUGUCGUUUUGUUGCUGGUUAGAAAGCAACUUAUUUAUUUAUUUAUUAUAUUUUGCAUAGUUUAUAUUAUAUUAAGUAUUUUUGUAUGUCAUUUUAUAUGAGUUAAUUUGAUUUGAUAUAAAAUUUAAGUAUCACGAUUCUGUCGAUCCAGACCAUCAUGAAUAGUGAUCCAUACUAACUCCACGAGAGAACCAACUCUCAACUCAAAGAGUAACUUAAAACUUGUGAAGUCAUAAUAAAAAUAUAAGGGAAGUAUUUCAAAACUCCUAAAGAAUUGAGUUACCAUAAACUCAAUUAAAAGUGACAAUAUUUGAAAAAAUAAACCCCUAGAAACUGAUGGAAGUUGUAGUAACAAAACUUCAAAUAGACAAAAUGGGGAUGCAACCACGAAAGUGACACAAAAAUCUAAUAACCCAAAGUCUGUGUCCGAAAAGAUAGACAAAAAGAUGUAGAGAAAUCCAUGAUAGUUUAAAAAAGUAGUUUACCGUUCGAUUUAAAUUCAAAAAUCUCUUAAUUGAGGUCUCGUAUCUUCAAAUUCAAGCUUCUUAAACUUGUAAUUUUCGGAAGCUUCAUCCACAAUAAUGAAAGUGCCCAAUCAAAUUUUUUUGGUUAAAUGAGUAUUUGAUUUCAGCACAAAAUCAAUCAGUUUUUCUAUUUCGAACUCUGACAAGGUAUAAUUAUUUUAUGAAAUUUCAUGACCAAUUUACUUUUAUUAAAAAAUUAUAUAAGAGAAAAAGUAAAAAAAUAUUUCAAUAAGAAUAAAUAGAAAAGAAAGUUGGAAUGUGAAAAAAUGAAAGCAAAAAUAAGUUGAUUAAAUAGGCCAAAAAAUCAAAAUGUUGAGUCGAACCCCUUUCCUUACAGUCAAGUGGCCCAAGGGCCUUUUCUUUUUUCAAUCUUUGAUCCAAAAAGCAAAAUAUAUGUACAUUUUUUAUAUAUUGAUGGACCAAAAGGCAAAAUAUAUGUAUAUUUUUUAAUUUAUUUUUUAUUUUUUUAUGAGGUGGAGGGGGAGGGAGGGGGGAGAUCUAAAUUAAUAGAAUGAGAGAUAAGGAUGAGCUUCAGAUAAUCUACAUGAUGAGAUUCUGUUACAAAUGCAGAAACUGAUAGAGAAUGAUAGAUAAAGAAAAAGAAAAAAGAUGAAGACUUAACGAGAGUUGUGAGCCACCACACAAAAUGAGACACCUCUGUUGAAAUCACUUCAUAACCACCGAUCCACCGAAGAUAUAUCUACAAGAGAAAAGAGAAUAAAAAAUGAAGAAUAAAGGAAAGAACAAGCUGGAAAACUACCUAUGCGAGCUGAGAAAGAGUGAAAACAUGGCAACUAAGAGAAAAGUGUUAAUGAUCCAAAGCGACUGACAGAGAAAAAUUUUAUUUUACUACGCUCCCUGCGGCGACAUGAAGAGAAAGAAAGGAAGUUCAAUUCAGAAACCCUACGUUUUAAGAUACAUGAUAUAGAAGCCAAUAGCUUCACUUAAUGGGCUGGACUAUUUUUUUGAUUGUUUUCUUGGGCUAAGCAUACUUUGGGUUGAUCUUUUCAGUACAAACUUAAAUAAUAAUUAAACAUGGAAAAAUG